UACGUAGGGUGCAAGCGUUGUCCGGAAUUAUUGGGCGUAAAGAGCUCGUAGGCGGCUUGUCGCGUCGUUCGUGAAAACUCACAGCUCAACUGUGAGCUUGCGGUCGAUACGGGCAGGCUAGAGUUCGGUAGGGGAGACUGGAAUUCCUGGUGUAGCGGUGAAAUGCGCAGAUAUCAGGAGGAACACCGGUGGCGAAGGCGGGUCUCUGGGCCGAUAUCGACGCUGAGGAGCGAAAGCGUGGGGAGCGAACAGG
rnacentral:rRNA from 1 species